UACGUAGGGUGCGAGCGUUAAUCGGAAUUACUGGGCGUAAAGCGUGCGUAGGCGGUUCGUUAAGUUCGUUGUGAAAGCCCCGGGCUCAACCUGGGAAUGGCAAUGGAAACUGGCGGGCUUGAGUAUGGCAGAGGGGGGUGGAAUUCCGCGUGUAGCAGUGAAAUGCGUAGAGAUGCGGAGGAACACCGAUGGCGAAGGCGGGUCUCUGGACAGUUCCUGACACUGAGGCACGAAGGCCAGGGGAGCAAACGGG
rnacentral:rRNA from 1 species